CCUACGGGUGGCUGCAGUGGGGAAUAUUGCACAAUGGGCGCAAGCCUGAUGCAGCCAUGCCGCGUGUGUGAAGAAGGCCUUCGGGUUGUAAAGCACUUUCAGCGGGGAGGAAGGCGGUGAGGUUAAUAACCUCAUCGAUUGACGUUACCCGCAGAAGAAGCACCGGCUAACUCCGUGCCAGCAGCCGCGGUAAUACGGAGGGUGCAAGCGUUAAUCGGAAUUACUGGGCGUAAAGCGCACGCAGGCGGUCUGUCAAGUCGGAUGUGAAAUCCCCGGGCUCAACCGGGGAACUGCAUUCGAAACUGGCAGGCUAGAGUCUUGUAGAGGGGGGUAGAAUUCCAGGUGUAGCGGUGAAAUGCGUAGAGAUCUGGAGGAAUACCGGUGGCGAAGGCGGCCCCCUGGACAAAGACUGACGCUCAGGUGCGAAAGCGUGGGGAGCAAACAGGAUUAGAUACCCGAGUAGUC
rnacentral:rRNA from 1 species